GGAGUGCGCGGCGGCCGCAGCUGCCACAAACCAGGUGAAGCUUUGUUCUAAGAAUAUUUGUUUCAUCUAGUUUAUGAGUCCAAAUGAUAUAGACUGUAAAUGUCACAGCAGUGGUGAAAGACUGCUCGGUCAUGAGCACCGACAGUAACUCACUGGCACGUGAAUUUCUGACCGAUGUCAACCGGCUUUGCAAUGCAGUGGUCCAGAGGGUGGAGGCCAGGGAGGAAGAAGAGGAGGAGACGCACAUGGCAACCCUUGGACAGUACCUUGUCCAUGGUCGAGGAUUUCUAUUACUUACCAAGCUAAAUUCUAUAAUUGAUCAGGUAACAUUUUUAUAUCAAAUACUUACUUUCAUCAAUAUAUGAUAGUUAACUGUAGCUACAUGGUUUUGGAUUACAUAGUUUCUGAAGCCUCCUUGAGAUAAAGUCCAGUCUUUCACAUUAUUCCACUAAAAAAAAAGUGGACCUAUUUAUAACCAUAUUGUUUAUUUGAAUACUUUCAAAACGUCUGAAAUAUCUUAGAAUUAUGAAUUGCCUAAGAACUAAAUGGUUUCAUAUAUACUAUGCUUUUUAUCGUAAUAUCAGUGAGAUAACUAUGGUUCUUAGUAGAAAUAUAAGACAUAAUCUUAUAUCCCUGUAUCUUAUGUCAGAAACAUGAUGAAUUUUCAUUUUCAAUAAAUAUCAAGUAUGUUUUUGAAAAAUUUUUGGAGGCUGCUAAUUCUGGAGUGAAAGCAGAGACCUCUUAUGUGAACUAAUAAUUACUGAGUCCUUUAGCUUGUAUACAUCUAAUUUAUCAAACGUUUUUGGCUUAAAGUAUGGUAUGACCAUAUGGUUUUGCUGUUUUCUUAUUAUAAAAUUAACAGAGUUUUAAAACUAGUUGAGACUAGAUGUUUUCAUCUAACCUUCUUUUACAGAUGAGAAAACAGAUCCAGAAACAUUAAGUACUCACAUAAAUUAAUUUUAAGGCCAAAUGUGAUUUAUAUCUUUAUUUCAUUUUAGUAGAAAAUGAAUAAUUAUUUUGUGAUCGUAAAACUCUACAAUCUGCUUUCAGGGAACUAAUUAAUAUAGUUAGUUGAAAAAAUAAUGAAGUGUUUGUAACACCAAUAUGAUGGAUUUUUUUUAACACUUUGAAUGUUACCAG
rnacentral:lncRNA from 1 species